AGCGCAAUCAAUUGGCUCUUAAUUGGGGUCAGGAAUGAAUGGAGUUUUCGUGGUCCAGCUGUCUUUUAGUUAGUAUAUUGAAGUUACUAUAUAGGUGAAAAAGCCUAUAAUUUGAAAAAGGACGAGAAGACCCUUAGAGUUUUACUUAGUGUGAACAAUUUAUAUUGUAGUUCAUAAUGGUUUUGUUGGGGCAACAUAGGAGCAAUAAAAUAAAAACAAAAAUCUCCUAAAUUAAACUUACCGAAGUAUUAAAACUGAAUAAACUACCUUAGGGAUAACAGCAUAAUUUUAAAAAUAAGUUUGUGACCUCGAUGUUGGACUAGGAAACUUAAAGGCU
rnacentral:rRNA from 1 species